rnacentral:ncRNA from 1 species
UUCAUUGAGAGUUUGAUCCUAGCUCAGGAUGAACGUUGGCGGCGUGGAUAAGGCAUGCAAGUCGUGCGAAUCAGUAGCCAGCUUUUAGCAAUUAGUAAUCAGAAAAAUAAAACGUCUGGCUACUGAAGGCUAACAGCUGGAUACCGGUUAGCGGCAGACGGGGUAGUAACACGUAGGUAGAUACCCAUGAGACGGGGAUAAUUCCGAGAAAUCGGAACUAAUACCCGAUAGUUCCCGAAAGGGUAAAGCUUCCGCUUCGGCGGAGACGCUCACGGAGUUGCCUGCGGGCUAUCAGCUUGUUGGUAAGGUAACGGCUUACCAAGGCUAUGACGGCUAGGGGAGGUGAGAGCCUGACCCCCACCAG